rnacentral:rRNA from 1 species
UCCGUAGGUGAACCUGCGGAAGGAUCAUUACUGAUUUGCUUAAUUGCACCACAUGUGUUUUUCUUUGAAACAAACUUGCUUUGGCGGUGGGCCCAGCCUGCCGCCAGAGGUCUAAACUUACAACCAAUUUUUUAUCAACUUGUCACACCAGAUUAUUACUAAUAGUCAAAACUUUCAACAACGGAUCUCUUGGUUCUCGCAUCGAUGAAGAACGCAGCGAAAUGCGAUACGUAAUAUGAAUUGCAGAUAUUCGUGAAUCAUCGAAUCUUUGAACGCACAUUGCGCCCUCUGGUAUUCCGGAGGGCAUGCCUGUUUGAGCGUCGUUUCUCCCUCAAACCGCUGGGUUUGGUGUUGAGCAAUACGACUUGGGUUUGCUUGAAAGACGGUAGUGGUAAGGCGGGAUCGCUUUGACAAUGGCUUAGGUCUAACCAAAAACAUUGCUUGCGGCGGUAACGUCCACCACGUAUAUCUUCAAACUUUGAACCUCAAAUCAGGUAGGACUACCCGCUGAACUUAAGCAUAUCAAUAAGCGGAGGAAAAG